rnacentral:rRNA from 1 species
UACGUAGGGAGCAAGCGUUGUCCGGAAUCAUUGGGCGUAAAGCGCACGUAGGCGGUUCGUUAUGUCGGAUGUGAAAAGCCCUUGGCUUAACCGAGGAAGUGCAUCCGAAACUGGCGAGCUAGAGUACGAAAGAGGAUCGCGGAAUUCCCGGUGUAGAGGUGAAAUUCGUAGAUAUCGGGAGGAACACCAGUGGCGAAGGCGGUUGCCUGGAGCUUUGCUGACGCUGAGGCGCGAAAGCGUGGGGAGCGAUCCGG